UGACUGCUCUGAGGUCAGACCUGCUGUUCCCCUCACUGUUGGUUUCCACCCAACAGAGAAACUCAGUCUCUGUGCCCUGGGGCCCAUAAUUCUAUCUGGGGCAGUGAGUCAGGUGUGCAGGCAGGACUCUGUGCUGGUGCCUGUGUAUCUGGCUCUGGGUUGGCUGCUGGGCACCCUCUGGCCCCCGGGGUCUUUUCCAGGGAUUGUCUGGAUGACCUGAGAUUUGGUACACACUGUUUGUUGCCAGCUUGGACCCCCCCACCCCCAGGAUUGAACAUUUUCAAAUGACAGUUUGGGAAGCAACUUGCUGAUUUCCAGACUUGCUGAAGUGUCAAGCUGAGUCUCUCUCCAGGAAAGUUUACCAGAGGAGGAUGUGAGAAACACCUCUGUGGCCUUCAUAUCGGGGGAAGAAGAAGCUCGGCUGCUCUCCUGGUUUUCGGGUUGAUGAGGAAGGAUCUUCCCAUUGUCCUCAGUCCUGUCCAAGAAGUACGUCCCAAAGCACAGGUUUAUGGCCCAGUGCCCAGAGCUCUGGGUCACAAUGUGAAGAGCACAUGAAGAUGGUUUCUCCUGUGUGCCAGGCAGACAUCACAGAUUUUAGAGAUGAUUGAUAGAUGAUAUGCCAGUGUACAUGCUGGGGAAAAGAAACAUGAGGUGGUGCUUAGGGAAGUUUGAUCAGGCUGCUACAACAUGAGAACCAAAGUCAGUUAUGCAUUAAAUAAACUGAACCUGCAAAUACCCCAGAAAUCAUUAGAGGUUUAAGUGAAAUGACAAUGAAGACAUAAUUGACAGUUUUCAGAUAAUUACUUACUCUCCCUUUGUUGCUUAAUGUGGUAUUAUAAUAAGUUUCCUGACUCUAGAGAUUGGGGAAUCUAAACAAGAGGCAUUUUCAACUCCAGAUAGAAUGAUAAAUACAAAACAAAGAAAUAGUAUGAAAAGAUGUAAAGAUAGCAGCACAAAGUCACUACAGUAACAAAGAUUAGACCAUCAACAGAUCUCUUCUUAGUAAUCUUUUUUAUUUUUCCCAGGAUGGGAAAAAUUUUUAAUUUUAUUUAUUACAAUUUAUUCACUUUGUAUCCCCACUGCAGCCCCCUCCCUCGUCUCCUCCCAAUCCCUCCUUCUUCUCCCGCUAUGCCCUUUCCCUAGGCCCUUUCUAUCUGACCUUAGCUUAUCAGGUCUUGUCAAGGCUAGCUGCAUCAUCUUCCUCUGUGUCAUGGCAAGGCUGCACCCCCCAGGGAGAGGUGAUCAAAGAGUUUGCUACUGAGUUCAUGUCAGUGAUAGCUACUGUACCCCUUAUUAGGGAACCUACUUGGGAACUGAGAAGCCAAUGGGCUUCCUUUGACAGGGGUCUAGGUCCUCUCCAUGCAUGGUCCUCAGUUGGAGUAUUGGUCUCUGCAGCCCCCCUGGGCCCAAGUAUUUUGGCUCUGUUCUCCUUAUGCAGUUCCUGUCCCCUCCAGGACUUUCUAUCUCCCUCUUCUUCUGUAAGGAUUCCAGCACUCUACCCAAAGUUUGGCUAUGAGUCUCUGUAUCUCCUUCGAUACCCUGGUGGGUAGAGUCUUUCAGAGGUCCCUUGUGGAAGGCUCCCUUCCUGUUCCUAAUCAUGAAAUAUGCAGGCACAUUGAGGGAAGAAGAAAAGAUCAUCCUGAGUGUGGUAACCCAGAAGCAGAAAGACACAUAUGAUAUAUUCUCACUUAUAAGUGGAUAUUAGCCAUACAACAUAGGAUAAACAUACUAAAAUCCAUACUCCUAAAGAAGCUAAACAACAAGGAGGACCCUAGGGAAGAUGCUUAAUCCUCACUCAGAAAGUCAAACAGGAUAGACAUCAGAAGUGGGAGAAGGUAAGGAACAGGACAAGAGCCUCAUUAGUAAUCUUGAAAGGAAGCAUGGGACAAUAUAUCUCAGGUCAUGUUAGUAAAUAACUUCUAACCAAGAUUGUGAUGUUCAUCAACACUAUUGUGUAUAAAUAAAGAUAUUUCAUAAGAUGCACAAGGUUUGGGAGUUAGUGACACUAAUACUGUAGAAGACAUUUAAAAGAGUACUAUGUACAGAGGAAGAAGAAAGAUGGGAGAGAAAGAAAAUCAUCCGCCAUGUCUAAUCCACUAAAGAAGCAAGCUCUACUAAGAGAGGAGAAAGAAAAGAACAGACAAUAAUCCAAUCAACCAUAAAAACAACUAGCAAAUAACAGGAAUUAGUGAAAAUCCUUUAGUAGUAGCCUUCAGUGGAAAUAACCUCACCUCAUCAAUAAAGAGGGAUGGAAGCGAUGGCUGAGCUAGCAAGCAAGCUGGUGUAGCUAUUUUAAUAUCUGAUAAAGUGCAUUUCAGACAAAAUGUAGAAGAUAAAGGUCACUGCAUAAAAGUAACAAUUCAUCAAGGAGCUAUAAUAGAUAUAUAAACAGAUAACUAGAUAGGCACCAAAUGUUGACAACUCUAGUUUCAUGAAAUCAAUAGUAAAGACAUAAGAGAUCUGAUAAGAACUGGUACACCAGUGAGUGACUGAAGCCUUUAGAUAGAAAUCCAAACAAAAACUAAAAACAAACAAACUAAAACAACCAAAAAUUAUAAAGUUGAUCUACAUUAUAAACUAAGUGGACCUAAUCAAAUAUCUACAGAACAUUCUAUCCCACACAUACAGAAUGUACUUUCUUUCAACAACCCACUGAAGCUUCUUUAAAGUAAAUCUCAUUCUAAGCCACAAUGCAAGUUUUAAAUAAUGCAAAAUUAUGCAUUUCUUUUAUCUUACGAGGACACAGUAUAAUAAACCCAGAAAUAAUUAACAAGAGAAACUACAGGAGCUUCACAAAUACUUAGAGAAGAGACAAUAUACUUUUGAGGGUAGUUGAAAAAAAAUCCAAAAGGAAAUUAGUAACUUUUUAGAAUCAAAUGAAAAUAAAACUACAAUUUACCAAAAUCUUGGGAUACAACAAAGACAAUUCUAAGAUGAAUGUUUAUAGUUAUUAGGGCUUAGAAUAAAAACUCAAAUUUUGGGAAUGGGGCAAUGCCUUAGUGGCUAAAAAUACUUACUUGCGGAGGAGCUGGCUUUGGUUCCCAGAACCCACAUUUUGGCUCACAGCGGUCUAUAACUCCAGGUUCAAGGUAUUUGUUGCCCUCUUUGAAUCCCCACACUUACCAGUUAUAUAUAUGGUAAAUGCUUUUAUAUGCAGGCAAAAAUACAUAAAAUAAAACACAUAAAAACACAUAAAACACAUAAAAUAAAAAUAAAUAAAGCUUAAAAAAUGAGAUCUUAUGUACAAAGUCAUGUAUGAUGAUUUGAAAGUAGAACCAAAAUUAUAUUAGGUAAUUUAGAAGUGGGAGUGGGUUGUAGAGAGAAAGAGGAAGGUAUGUGGUAUCCGGGGAAUCUUCUCAUCAAACAGUAUACACCUGUAUGAAAAUGCCCUUAUAUAACAUGUACCAUUCCAGCUUUAACCUAUCGAAAUUUCUUGUGUUCUGGAUUCUUACUCUACCUUGAAUUGUUUUAGAAGCAACUUACGUGCUGAUGUGUGAUAUCUUUCAAAGUAUCAUCAUGAAUUGCUAUUAAAAUAUUAACUUUGGACAGAGUGCAGGGAAUCUUAUGAAAAAAGGGUGGGGGGACAGAAGCUCCACAAGGAGAGCAACAGAAUAAAAAAAUCUGGGCACAUGGGGUCUUUUCUGAGACUGAUACUCCAACCAAGGACCAUGCAUGGAUAUAACCUAGAAACCCUAUUCAGAUGUAGCCCAUGGCAGAUCAGUAUCCAAAUGGGUACCCUAGUAAGGGGAACAGGGACUCUCUCUGGCAUGAACUCAGUGACUGGCUCUUUGAUCACCUCCCCCUGAGGUGGGAGCAGCCUUACCAGGCCACAGAGAAAGACAAUGCAGCCAGUCCCGAUGAGACCUGAGAGGUGAGGGUUAGAUGGAGGUUACUCCUCCCUAUCAGUGGUCUUGGAGAAGGGAGGAAGGGUGGAAUUGGGAGGGCAUGAGGGAGGGGGCUGGGAUAC